rnacentral:rRNA from 1 species
GACGAACGCUGGCGGCGUGCUUAACACAUGCAAGUCGAACGGAAAGGCCCUGCUUUUGUGGGGUGCUCGAGUGGCGAACGGGUGAGUAACACGUGAGUAACCUGCCCUUGACCUUGGGAUAACUUCAGGAAACUGGGGCUAAUACCGGAUAGGAGCUCCUGCUGCAUGGUGGGGGUUGGAAAGUUUCGGCGGUUGGGGAUGGACUCGCGGCUUAUCAGCUUGUUGGUGGGGUAGUGGCUUACCAAGGCUUUGACGGGUAGCCGGCCUGAGAGGGUGACCGGCCACAUUGGGACUGAGCUACGGCCCAGACUCCUACGGGAGGCAGCAGUGGGGAAUAUUGCACAAUGGGCGGAAGCCUGAUGCAGCAACGCCGCGUGCGGGAUGACGGCCUUCGGGUUGUAAACCGCUUUCGCCUGUGACGAAGCGUGAGUGACGGUAAUGGGUAAAGAAGCACCGGCUAACUACGUG